AGAAAAAGAGAAAGAGCAGGUGAGAGGAAGAGAAAGAGAGAGGGAAGCGAAUGCCUGUAAAUAGCGAAUCUCGCUGUUUAUGUCUUCUGUGUACGUUAUAACACUGGUCUACAGGAAUAUCAGUCGAACAGAGCAUUUGUCUGUGUUCGUACACGAGCUAUAAUGCUCAACUUACAUGUGUUGUAUAGCCACUAUGAUUGUCCACCAAAGCGGAAUAUGGAAGGGUGCCAGUUUGUGAUAAUACAGCCCUCAACUCUUUGACACUUGACUUUUAGUCAGUUGUUGCAACUCUCAACUGCGAGGAAGCGCUCACACUUUGGUAAACCAAAGUGGGCAUUCAGUGGAAAUCUUACUUUUCUUUCUGCUUUCGUUUAUUUAAUUAGCGUGUGGUGCGCGAACUAACACACGUUCGCGCACACACACACACACACACACACACACACACACACACACACACACACACAUACGUGCGCACUCACUUAUUCAAACAUACAUACAUACAUACAUACAUACAUACAUACAUACAUACAUUCAGACCGCUCAGUCUUUCUUAUUCCGGGGCUCUGUGCCUUCUCUCAGUUCACUCAUGCUUUUUUCAUCGCUCCUUUACUCAGACGUAUAUAUAUAAGACUGAUAUAUAUAUAUAUAUAUAUAUAUAUGCAAAUAUAUAUAUACUUACAUACAUACAUAUGCAUGCAUGUAUGUAUAUGUAUAUAUAUAUGCUUCUAUAAAGACUAUAUUUUUAGACCAACGAAAAUAGAAUGUAAUUCAAAACCGAAGCAUGGCAGCAAACCCCGUGUGUGAGGCAGCUGUAGUCGUUGGUAUUGAAACAUCGACGCGCCCUUACUGUAAAAUGAAACCGCCGGAUAUUCCAAGUUGGUUUAAUCAAACGUUUAUAAAGAAGCUACGUAACAGCAGCUGUUGGCAGUUCUAUUUAAAGCAGUGUUCGCCACCGGCUAAGGGACAUUUUCAGGAAAACCAUCACACCACAACAAUUACUGUGGUCGUAUUUUUCUUUAUAAUUAUCGGAUUAAUUGUUCUUUUCUUUAUAAUUAAUCGACACUGGCGAUUUGGCCAUAUGAUGUCGAAUGCGGUGAGUAAACGUUUUAAUAAAAACAAAACCAAUAACGAAAAACUUUCCAGACAAUCAGCGCAGUGUUUGUACCGAAUGGAUACUCCUGAGGAAUUUUAGCAGAAAUGCAUUAACUACUUAUCCGGGUGUUGAACAAAUUAUAUUUACGGAGAUUUCAAAUACUGGAAAACAACGAAAGUAACACACUUUGGGUCUGAAACAGACAUGGUAGAGGAUUUACCAAAUAUAGAAAUGUCAUCUUACAUCUUACUCUCAUAUGCUAAAAGAAAAGAAAUCGAAAAAGGGACUUCCGAUUAUGAGGUGGUCAUUCUCUCGGCAUUCGUCCCAUGGUGAUUAUCAUUUAAAUCAGGACAAAAAUCAUUACUCUUGAAAUUCAUUCUGGGUUUGCAACUUUGAUUUACGGCUGUUGUGACCAAUGCAAAACAUUAGAAAUUAUUGACAACCCUUGCUACAGUUACACAUUCCCAGUUAUGACCUUCGAAACCAACACAAUCCUCAACAAACAUUUGAUUGAACGUACGGUUGAAACAUGAGAACAAUGGCUGUUCUUCUCUAACGUCUGAAUCGUAUUCCAAUUUGAAAUCAAAUUGUUUAUUAAAUUUAAGAAAAAUACAAUAAAAUAAAUUUUACAUAA